UACGGGAGGGGGCUAGCGUUGUUCGGAAUUACUGGGCGUAAAGCGUACGUAGGCGGCUUUGUAAGUUAGAGGUGAAAGCCCGGGGCUCAACCCCGGAAUUGCCUUUAAGACUGCAUCGCUUGAACGUCGGAGAGGUGAGUGGAAUUCCGAGUGUAGAGGUGAAAUUCGUAGAUAUUCGGAAGAACACCGGGUGGCGAAGGCGGUCUGCUGGGGUGAGGCUGACGC
rnacentral:rRNA from 1 species